rnacentral:rRNA from 1 species
GAGUUUGAUCCUGGCUCACGCACGAACGCUGGCGGCAGGCUUAACACAUGCAAGUCGAACGAUCCUUCGGGAUAGUGGCAGACGGGUGCGUAACACGUGGGAACCUACCCUAAGGUACGGAAUAACUCAGGGAAACUUGUGCUAAUACCGUAUAUGUCUUCGGAUGAAAGAUUUAUCGCCUUAGGAUGGGCCCGCGGCUGAUUAGCUAGUUGGUGAGGUAAAAGCUUACCAAGGCGACGAUCAGUAGCUGGUCUGAGAGGAUGAUCAGCCACACUGGAACUGAGACACGGUCCAGACUCCUACGGGAGGCAGCAGUGAGGAAUAUUGGACAAUGGGGGCAACCCUGAUCCAGCCAUGCCGCGUGAGUGAUGAAGGCCUUAGGGUUGUAAAACUCUUUCGCUAGUGAAGAUAAUGACGGUAACUAGUAAAGAAGCCCCGGCUAAUUUCGUGCCAGCAGCCGCGGUAAUACGAAAGGGGCUAGCGUUGUUCGGAAUUACUGGGCGUAAAGCGCGCGUAGGCGGAUUGACAAGUUGGGGGUGAAAUCCCGGGGCU